CCUACGGGGAGCAGCAGUGAGGAAUAUUGGUCAAUGGACGCAAGUCUGAACCAGCCAUGCCGCGUGCAGGAUGACGGCUCUAUGAGUUGUAAACUGCUUUUGUACGAGGGUAAACCCCGAUACGUGUAUCGGGUUGAAAGUAUCGUACGAAUAAGGAUCGGCUAACUCCGUGCCAGCAGCCGCGGUAAUACGGAGGAUCCGAGCGUUAUCCGGAUUUAUUGGGGUGAAAGGGUGCGUAGGCGGUUUGAUAAGUUAGAGGUGAAAUGGCUGGGCUCAAACCCGAAACUGCCUCUAAUACUGUCGGACUAGAGAAUAGUUGCGGUAGGCGGAAUGUAUGGUGUAGCGGUGAAAUGCGUAGAGAUAAUACAGAACACCGAUUGCGAAGGCAGCUUACCAAACUAUAUCUGACGUUGAGGCACGAAAGCGUGGGUAGCGAACAGGAUUAGAUACCCCAGUAGUC
rnacentral:rRNA from 1 species